GGGGGCGACCUGGCUUCGACGUGGGUCGCAAAACCUAAGGUGCAUGUCGAGGGGCAGAAAGCCUCGUUAAUCCAACUGCAAACUAUAUAGUUGCCAACGACGACAACUACGCUCUAGCUGCUUAAUUCGCGGCUAGCCUUCGACCAGUCCUAAUUCUGUGGGGAUUGGAUUUCGGGGGUAAAUAAACAUAGAAUCGCAGUGGUAGUGGUUCCAACGAAACUGUUAAAUUUUUAGGAACUCGUUGAUUUAUUGCCCUGUCCGUCGGGUAAGAAUCAAUUAAAGUUUAAUAGGCGUGAAUAUACAUGUAGAGCCAAAGGCAGAGGGCUUGCGGACGCGGGUUCGAUUCCCGCCGCCUCCACCA
rnacentral:tmRNA from 1 species